rnacentral:misc_RNA from 1 species
UCGACGUCACUCAUAAUCUGUCAUUGUGUUUGCGGCAAACCACAUGCAGGAAUGAUACCACUUUAGUCGCCAAAUCAACAUAUAAGUUGUGGACUAUCAUAUUUCUGCGACUGGAGGUUUUUUCUCUGUUUUUCCUUGUGAAGAGCAAAUGUGGAUUUUGAACUCCAGUUUACAAAACCCACGAUCGAUGCUCCCGGCCAGCAGAACUCUCGAUGGGUUGCUGAAUUUUUCUCAUUAACUUCCUGCACGCUGGAAAAACAUCGACAUUGUUGUUCUGGACUCAGCGCUGUCCGUACUGUCGAAGUCUCUUUUUUCGUGGGUGAGCCCGUCAACAGAGAAUAACGGUAUGAAUGAAUCGUGUGGAAGCGUUUUCGUUGAGGAAGUGGAUGAAGAAAAAGAGGGGCCAGCAAGAGCUGAAGGUUGGAUCAAGGUUUUUGAGGAGGGAAUCAUCAAGUAUUGCCGUCGCGGUUCUUACAACUUCUUGAGUUCUCUGAGAUGGCAAUUGCAGUUCUGUGUAUUGGACUUCAAGGCUAGUAAACUGCAUCACUUCAACAAUGAACUGGAAGCUGCGCUGGUCCAGGAAAAUGCCGGCAGUCCGAUGGUUAGACUGAACCCAAGCAGAGUGGAUUACUACAGUCGGUGGAAUCACGUCAGCAUGUCCCAUCUGGGGCCCAACUUCCUCAAGACCGAGUCGUCAACUCUGCCUAGGAAGCUGCCAAACUAUGACCGAUUGGACGUCAGCCAAGAUGGCGUUGGUCGAGCGCGGCGAAAGAGUGCCCCCAGUGGUGGGAUCCAGAUGACCACUGAUGCGACGGGCCAACAAUCAAAGUUAUCGGGUAUUUUCCCCAAGCGAAUGAAAAUCGCUCUCAAACGAACCAAGAGCGUUGGGAAGUUCGACAACAAACACGCAACUCUGAAAGAAGAAGACGAGGAAUCAGACAUGACGUCUCCCAAUUCCAUCAAGCCUGCCCACUCCCAUGAGUCUCUGCUGCUCGGACCUCAGACCUCCCUGGACGUCUUUGACCUCUCAUCCAAUGACCUGGUCAUUGUACCCCUCCACAGCAGCAUCCUGGGGCAGGAUCACUGCUUCCAGAUUACUAACUCACACGGCAAGAAGUACUACUCGUGUCGCUCAGCGAGUGAGCGAGACAAAUGGAUGGAGAGCAUUCGCAGUGCCAUCCAUCCAGAGAAAGACCACAAACGGCGGAAAGACAGUGUCCUCAGACUGUGGGUCGUGGAAGGGAAGAAUGUUCCUGUCAAGAGAAAGUACUACUGUGAGAUUUGUCUGGACGAUAUGCUGUAUGCCAGAACCACUGCCAAAUCCAGGGGAGACAUGGUCUUCUGGGGAGAACAAUUCCUAUUCACGUGUCUUCCAGAAGCAAAGAACAUAAAAGUUCAUUUGUACAAAGAACCAGACAAGAAGAAAAGGAGAGACAAAAACUAUGUGGGGGUUGUGUCCAUUCCGCUGGAACCCAUCAGUAACAGGGCCACAAUCGAGAAAUGGUACCCCUUGACCAACACCAGCACAAAAGGUGACACGCCAAGCCUACGAAUCAAAGCCCGAUAUCAGAGCAUCAGUAUUCUGCCCAUAGCCCAGUACUCUGAACUCGCACAGUACUUGAAAGAGAACGCUAUUACUUUGUGUCAACUCAUCGAGCAGCAGAUCAACGUCAAAACGAAAGAGGAGAUCGCGACCUCACUUGUUAAAGUACUGCACUGUCUUGACUCGGCCAAGGAGUUUCUGGUGGAGUUGGUCAUGAGUGAGACCAGAACAAUGAAUGAUGAGAGCCUCAUUUUCAGGGCCAAUACCAUGGCAACCAAGUCCAUGGAGGCAUACAUGAAGCUGAUUGGUGGAAAGUACUUACAAGACACCAUCGGUGACUUUAUCCACGAAUUGUAUGAAAGCGAGGAGGACUGUGAGGUGGAUCCUACCAAGGUCUCUAGUAGUCUCCUUCUCCAGCAGCACCAAGCAACACUGACCAUGCUGUGUGAAAUGGCCUGCUGUAAGAUAGUCAACUCAGCGGCUGCGUUUCCCUCUGACCUGCGAGCUGUCUUUCAUUCCUUUCGUCAGCAUAGCCAGAGCCAGCCCAAUGGCCAGGUCAUCUGCGACAAGUUGAUCAGUGGUUGCAUCUUCUUGCGUUUCCUCUGCCCUGCCAUCAUGUCGCCGAGUCUCUUUGACCUCAUCCAGGAGUACCCCAGUGACAAGACAUCACGUUGCCUCACCCUCAUUGCCAAGACAGUCCAGGGUCUUGCCAACUUCACAAAGUUUGGAACCAAAGAAAGCUACAUGGUCUUCAUGAAUGAUUUCUUGGAGCGAGAAUGGAGCAACAUGAAGACUUUCCUGCAGGAAAUAUCGAGUACUCCUGAGAGGGCUAACGAUGUGAAGUUUAACGGCUACACAGACCUUGGCAAAGAAUUGUCAUUACUCCAUAGCUUGCUGGUAGAAACGCUAGAUGACUGUGAAAAGCUAUCGGAUGACAAGCUUGGCUCCUUGAGGAGCAUCUUGACUCGCAUCACAUCUUAUGCAUCGUUGCCGGAGGGAACCAUCCCUUACAGUUCCUCCAGCUUCAUCCAGACAGUUCAAGGAUCAUGCAGCUCGACAACAGUUACCAUGACAUCCACAGCAACCUCCCCGAUGGGCAAGAAGAGCCUAAACAAAAUCUUUGAAGACGCCAAGUUGUCAGACUCGACAGAUGUGGAGAUGCUUCCACCGUACAACAUUGCCAUGGAGCGAUCCAUCACAUCCUCAACGGUGAACAACCUUGUCGAUUUCAUCCAGCAGGAUACCGCCAACUCGACCAAUGGGAAGACAGAACUCAGCACAGCCGUUUUUGAAAUCGCCAGUACCCAGACUGACUCGUCACAGAUUGAAUCGAGUACGACAGUUGAAAAGGUCCGAACGACAACGGAAUAUGAGGAACGGAUUAUGGAGGAGUUAGAGGGAGACAUGUUGGUUUCCAUGAAGUCAGAAACCAAGAAAUCAGUCAAUCAGUCAUACUCAGUCAGUCUGGAGAGAACCGUGGUCCCAAAUCCAGCAAUUAGUACUACUGAAACAAACAGGACCUCCUAUGCCAUAGAUAGGACUGGUGGAGGAGAUGCACAGGUCAAGCGAAGGAACCGAACCUUACCGCUGUCCUUCCAAAAUCCAGCCUACCAACUCUCCAAGAAAUCCCUGCGUCACCUGGACGUUGGGGCUUCGGACAGCGUCAGUUCCUCUAACAGUUCAGAUGGGGCUUCAUCCAAUCAUGACGGGGAUGUCUCCCAAAACAGCUUGUCAUGUGGGGGUGUGUCUCCAUCCUCAAGUAGGAGAACAGCGUCGUCAAAAGGAUCCUCAUCGACCGGAAAGGUAGACAUUAUGGCACAUACGUUACCCAAAGCUACCCACCGCUCUCACAAUAUCACCUCUGUGGACCUGUAUCCAAAAAGUGAUGGGCAAAUCGCCGAAAGUCAGAGCAGUGGUUCAAUCCACUCCAAAAGCACAAAACCUUCCUUCAAUGGUAGCAACAGCAGUACUUCACUCUUUGACCCCGCCCGGACUCAGUCUAGCGUCACAUCUCCCACGGAAGCAAUUCGUGCUAUGAAUAACGCUGCCAAGGCGGCGUUCUUUUCAUCAGUGAUGGCUCCUGUGCGGGAGUCCCCAGCCCGCUCCAACUCCGGCAUUGGAAGCCCCAUCCCCAGCAGGGGUUUAAAGCAGCGCUCGCAGGCUGUGCUUCACAUCAACAAUGAGAACCACCAGCCCUCGUUUGCCAUCACAGUCACCAAUCCCAAACCAGAAUCUCAAAUGGCACAGUUGAGCCACACCCACCCAGAGCACAUCUCCAGCUCCUCCCCUUCUAUAUCUCCGCCCACAAGUUCCCCGUCUUCAGCCUCCUCGGAGGAGCUUCCCGCUAGGACGCUAGUUAAGACAGAAGCUGUCAUCCAGACAGGAUCCCCCACUCUCCAAACCACCCAAUCCACUGAAUCCGUCACGUUUACCACUCAACGGUUUAUGACUUCCCAGACAAUCUUGCCAUCCUCCCCUUGUAGACCAAAGCAGUUAAACACUGACACUAGUCCCACGUCCCGCACCCCCCUGAUGGGUACCACAAACCUUGAAAAGAACCUCACCACACGGACCACAGCCCGUUACCCCACCACACCUGUCCAGCUCAGUACUGCCAAUAUCUCCUUCAGCAUUGCCAGUCUCACUCCACCUGUGAGCACCGUCACAAGUCCCACAAGCCCUUCCUCACUCCCUCUCCCUCGGAAGAAGAUCAUGACCCAGUUUGCCUCUAAGCCAAGGAUCUGUCAGUCGGAGAGUUCCUCUCCCCUCAACAAACCAACAGAGAGUUCCGAACUGUCCAUCCAAAUUGGAAAAAAAACGCGGUCACUGUCACUUCAGCACAAUUUCACAUCCAAGCCAGUCUUGACCUCACCUCCUGGCCCUGUCUGGACCAGAAGAAUGAAGGAUCCUUCAUCCAUUGACCGAGAAACACAAACAGAAGUGUAUUCCUUGGAGAUUCAGAUUCUGAAAGAUGAGUUAGAGAAGGUGACCUUGCAAUUAGAAGAGACUCAGCUGAAGUUGGCCGAGGAGGAAGUGAGAGCGGACAAGGCCAUCGCUGAGAUGAAAGUGGAACUAGAGAACAGCCAGGUGGAGCUGAAGAGACAACAUGAUGAGAAGGACAAACAGAUCAAGGAUAUCAUCACAAGUCCGUUGUCUACGUCGUUCAUUGGCCCAAGCUAACUGAACGCGCGACAACCACCAUCAAACAACCAAAAAAAACCAACUCCCAAUGCCCGACUUGUCACUGUGGAAGAGGAGUUAAAGAAGGAGCAAGAGGAGAUGGUUGCCGUGGUUUCUGCCAAGCAGAAAAUCAUCGAUGCCCAAG